AAUAGAUACCCUGGUAGUCCACGCCGUAAACGAUGAGUGCUAGGUGUCGGGGUCGACAGGCUUCGGUGCUGAAGUCAACGCAUUAAGCACUCCACCUGGGGAGGUACGUUCGCAAGAAAUGAAACUACAAAGGAAAGUUGACGGGGGACCCGGCACAAGCGGUGGAGCAUGUGGUUUAAUUCGAAGCAACGCGAAGAACCUUACCAAGGCUUGACAUCCUCCUGACAGACUCUUAAUCGAGUCUUUCCUUCGGGACAGGAGAGACAGGUGGUGCAUGGUUGUCGUCAGCUCGUGUCGUGAGAUGUUGGGUUAAGUCCCGCAACGAGCGCAACCCUUAUCUUUAGUAGCCAGCGGGUAAAGCCGGGCACUCUAGAGAGACUGCCAGGGUGAACCUGGAGGAAGGUGGGGAUGACGUCAAAUCAUCAUGCCCCUUAUGUCUUGGGCUACACACGUGCUACAAUGGCUGCGACAGAGGGGAAGCGAAGGGGCGACCUGGAGCGAAACCCAAAAAAGCAGUCCCAGUUCGGA
rnacentral:rRNA from 1 species